rnacentral:rRNA from 1 species
AUUGAACGCUGGCGGAAUGCUUUACACAUGCAAGUCGAGCGGCAGCGCGGCCUUCGGGCUGGCGGCGAGCGGCGAACGGGUGAGUAAUGCAUCGGAACAUGCCCAGUCGUGGGGGAUAACACUUCGAAAGAAGUGCUAAUACCGCAUACGUCCUGAGGGGGAAAGCGGGGGAUCGCAAGACCUCGCGCGAUUGGAGUGGCCGAUGUCAGAUUAGCUAGUUGGUGGGGUAAAGGCCUACCAAGGCGACGAUCUGUAGCUGGUCUGAGAGGAUGAUCAGCCACACUGGGACUGAGACACGGCCCAGACUCCUACGGGAGGCAGCAGUGGGGAAUUUUGGACAAUGGGGGCAACCCUGAUCCAGCCAUUCCGCGUGAGUGAAGAGGGCCUUCGGGUUGUAAAGCUCUUUCGGCAGGAACGAAACGGUGGGCUCUAACAUAGUCCGCUAAUGACGGUACCUGAAGAAGAAGCACCGGCUAACUACGUG